rnacentral:rRNA from 1 species
GAUGAACGCUGGCGGCGUGCCUAAUACAUGCAAGUCGAGCGAACAGACGAGGAGCUUGCUCCUCUGACGUUAGCGGCGGACGGGUGAGUAACACGUGGAUAACCUACCUAUAAGACUGGGAUAACUUCGGGAAACCGGAGCUAAUACCGGAUAAUAUAUUGAACCGCAUGGUUCAAUAGUGAAAGACGGUUUUGCUGUCACUUAUAGAUGGAUCCGCGCCGCAUUAGCUAGUUGGUAAGGUAACGGCUUACCAAGGCAACGAUGCGUAGCCGACCUGAGAGGGUGAUCGGCCACACGGGAACUGAGACACGGUCCAGACUCCUACGGGAGGCAGCAGUAGGGAAUCUUCCGCAGUGGGCGAAAGCCUGACGGAGCAACGCCGCGUGAGUGAUGAAGGUCUUCGGAUCGUAAAACUCUGUUAUUAGGGAAGAACAAAUGUGUAAGUAACUGUGCACGUCUUGACGGUACCUAAUCAGAAAGCCACGGCUAACUACGUG